rnacentral:rRNA from 1 species
CAGUCGCCGCGGGAAUACGAAGGGGGCUAGCGUUGCUCGGAAUGACUGGGCGUAAAGGGCGCGUAGGCGGCGAUCAAAGUCAGGCGUGAAAUUCCUGGGCUCAACCUGGGGGCUGCGCUUGAUACUUGGUUGCUUGAGUGGGGAAGAGGGUCGUGGAAUUCCCAGUGUAGAGGUGAAAUUCGUAGAUAUUGGGAAGAACACCGGUGGCGAAGGCGGCAACCUGGUCCAUGACUGACGCUGAGGCGCGAAAGCGUGGGGAGCAAACAGGAUUAGAGACCCGAGUAGUCCCUGUCUCUUAUAC